rnacentral:lncRNA from 1 species
GAUCAUGCUGCUGUCCGAUCCAAAAUGCAAAAGGAGUCAUGAUUGCAACAUGCAAAUGGAGUCAUGAUUACUUUUUGCAAAUUGUCAUGAUUAACUUUUGCAAAUUAUUUUCUACCGUGAGAAGCAAUUGGACAAGCAUCCUGCUAUGCACACACGAAGGCUUAUCAAAAGACUCCAUGAUCUUUUCCUAGUGAACACAAGAGAUGCACGCGAG